UACGGGGGGAGCAAGCGUUGUUCGGAUUUACUGGGCGUAAAGGGCGCGUAGGCGGUCAGCACAAGUCAGUUGUGAAAUCUCCGGGCUUAACUCGGAAAGGUCAACUGAUACUGUGCGACUAGAGUGCAGAAGGGGCAACUGGAAUUCUCGGUGUAGCGGUGAAAUGCGUAGAUAUCGGGAAGAACACCCGUGGCUAAGGCGGCUCUCUAGUACGGUACUGACGCUGAGACGCGAAAGCGUGGGGAGCGAACAGG
rnacentral:rRNA from 1 species